GGGUUAUGUAUUAGUCACUGUCAGUGUGACUUUUGCCUCAAUUAAUAAAAGACAGGAGAUGUUCUUGAGUCACUUGAAGUCCCUGUGUUCACCAGGCGUUGCCAGGAAGGACAUGGCAUCCACCAGUGUUGUCAAUAAAUAAUUGGGAUCUCUCAAUUGCAUUUAAACUCGCUGUUGUGUUUUCUGCAGUAUUUCAAGAAUUGCAUUGUUGGAUGCACAUGCAUAAAUAUGUUGAUUACAAGGUUUUUUUGUAUUAAAUCGGAAUAAAAAAGGAUGGAUAUGAAGAAGCUUUCACUACAAACUUUUUUUAAUUUAUUUUAAUUUUGUAUUUCUUGUCCUAAGAGCUGAUAUUUCACAGAAAUGUCAUAAUAUUGCAGCACCAGUUGGCGUGUUUAGUAGCAGGAGUAGGUGUGUUUUGUUGUGUACGCAGCUGCAGCAGGGUAUUAUUAUAUAUUUGAACAAUUUGCAGUGUCUAAUGAAUUGUCUUGUUUAAAUGCUUGUUGAUGCAAUUUACAUGUUUUCUUGUGUCAUUUAUAGCAAACAUGGAGUGCAAAUGGGGGGAAGUCUUCAGUUUUAUUUCUGAAGGCUCCUACCCAUUGACACUCAACAGAGGGCAGAGGCAAACUUUAAGAAAGUAUGCCGAAAAAUUUACCACUGGCUGAAUGUUCGGAGAUUUAUAGCUUUGGACAGCUAUGAUUCUAAGAAGUUUUUGGUCAGAACACAUGAAAUUUUAUUAAUGUUGGGUAUUAAGAACCAGUUCCACUGUUCAGGGAACUGUGGAAGUCUGUGUGAAACCUGUUGAUCUGUUUUGUUAAUAUUCUAACAAUCAAAAACACAAGAUGGCUUAGGAGCAUAUCACCGAAUUUUUCAUUCCAAACGGAACAAAUUUUCCCUUAGGCUAUACCGGAACAGUCCAAAGCAUUAAAAAAAUCCAAAGAUAUAUGACAUACUAAAUUGCAGUAUUUUCUGUUAUGUACUAGUAUAAUAUGAUGGCUUGUCAACAGAAUAUAAAGAGGUAGUACUUGACUAUUUUUGGUAAAGUACACUCUAAAUGCCUUUAUUUGUUCCCAGACAAGGUGGAAGAGUACUGUGUGGAAUGCAAUAUGCUUCACUGUAAUGCUUCAGAGAACAUCAUUGACAUGAUACAGUGUGACUGCUGCUCAAGGUGGACACACAAAGAAUGUGCCACAGACAUGGGUGACAUGUUCAAAUGUAAAAAGUGUAACUUAAAUUAAACAGUUUUACCCCA